GGGGAGUUCAGUGGGAAGAAGAAACCUAAUCUAACGUGGCUGGGAGUGACCCUUUGCACAGCAAAAAUUGGUUAAAAAUCAAGAGAAAAUGGUUGUCUGUAAACGGGGGAAGAGAUGGGGUCGUACCAAGAAAAAGAGCUAAAGCUGACCUCUUUUUUACUUUGGGAAUGAGCUGUAAGUCAGAAGGCAAGCCUGAGUCUGAGGAUCUACUAGUGAUGGCAGAAUCUCCUGAAGGAUUGGAGUUGGUGGCCAAGGUUGAGGUCAAGGUCCCAAAGGAGGGCACAAGCAAGGCACAUGGAAAAGAAAUGAAGAGGAAAAAACACAGUAACUUAAUGACCUGGCUAUAAGUUACAGAGUGAAAGCAAAUACAAAAUUUGAAACUCGGACCUUCCAUUUCAUCAGCAUUUUUGAAAAUACAAGUGAGUGUUUUUAGUCAUCUUGCAAGUUGAUCCAUUGACUCGGAAACAGACAAUGGUGAAGGCAGCAGUGUCAUUUUGAUUAAAAAUAAGGUUGGGAGUUGUCUCACAAAUGAAAAGUGGGCUGUUUUGGCUUUCUACCAUGGAGGAGGAACUUGAAGGAGAAAAUUGGUCGACCUUCUCCAUUCCCUGGAGCAUCGGCAAGGCAGCAGAGGACAAUGGAGAACAUGUUUGCCG